rnacentral:rRNA from 1 species
UACGGGGGGGGCAAGCGUUGUUCGGAAUUACUGGGCGUAAAGGGCUCGUAGGUGGCCAACUAAGUCAGACGUGAAAUCCCCAGGCUCAACUUGGGAACUGCGUCUGAUACUGGAUGGCUUGAAUUCGGGAGAGGGAUGCAGAAUUCCAGGUGUAGCGGUGAAAUGCGUAGAUAUCGUGAGGAAGACCAGUGGCGAAGGCGGGUCUCUGGACAGUUCCUGACACUGAGGCACGAGGGCCAGGGGAGCAAACGGG